AAUAUUGGACAAUGGGGGCAACCCUGACCACGCCUUGCCGCGGGGGUGAAGAGGGUCUUGGGUUUGAAAAGCACUUUACGUUGGGAGGAAGGGCUUUCGGCUAAUACCCUAACGGUUUGUCGUUACCAACAGAAUAAGCACCGGCUAACUCUGUGCCAGCAGCCGCGGUAAUACGGAGGGGGCAAGCGUCGUUGGGCUUUACUGGGCGUACAGGGCGCGUAGGCGGAUGUCCGCGUGAGAGGUGAAAGCCCCGGGCUCAACCUGGGAACUGCCUUUGAAACGGGACAUCUUGAGUUCGGAAGAGGGUAGCGGAAUUCCCAGUGUAGAGGUGAAAUUCGUAGAUAUUGGGAAGAACACCAGUAGCGAAGGCGGCUACCUGGUCCGACACUGACGCUGAGGCGCGAAAGCGUGGGGAGCAAACA
rnacentral:rRNA from 1 species